rnacentral:lncRNA from 1 species
UAAAUAUAGACAAAAUCUAUAAAUUAGAAUAUAAUCUAUAUUUGAUAUAUAAUUAUAUACAGGAGAUUUGUAAAUGGUCUAGUCAAAUUUAAAAUCACAAAUGCUAUUUAUCAAAACAAAGCGAUAAGUCCUUAUGGGCAUAGUUUGGAAAUGCUUCCUUUUCAAGAUAAUACAGUGUAAAAGCAUAGGUUGUAUAUGCACCCCCUCCACAAAAGAGAUCUUAUCCAUUACCAUAGUAUUAGAGAGGGAGAAAUAAAAGAUAUCAUCUUUAUAUUAAUGUUAAGCACUAUUAUAUGUUACUGUAAGAAAUAUCCCUAUUUUUGUUUGUUCAGUUCUUUUUCAGGCAAUCACGUAUUAUUUCCAGCUAUUCACAGACUGUUCCAAUAGCUUGCUCAUUUGUUGUAAUUAAUGCACAAUUUACUACAUUUUUUUUUACAGUUGAUUGCAAACUACAAUUUACUACAACCAUCAUGGACUAAUAGGCCUAUUAAAUUGUAUGCUUUUAUUCCCUGUAUUGUCUCGAAAAGGAGACAUUUCUGGACCGUGUUUAUGUGGACUUUUUGCUUUGUUUUGAUGAGUAGCAUCUCUGAGUUAAAUUUAGCCAAACUUUUUA